ensembl:lncRNA
GGACGCGCGACCGCCGCCCAGAGUCUCCGCCCCAGCUCCCUUCCUUCCCCUUCGGGCUGCUCCGUGCCCCGCUCAGGGCUCCCGGCCCCACCUUCCUGCUCAACAUCAGCUGAAAGGCUGUUCUGGCAAAACAUGCCCUCACGGGGACACAAUUGCUCAAGGAAAACAUUUCCCCUUCUUUUUCCUGGCACGGCUCUAGGCAGUUUCCCGAGCGGAGUAGUGACGAAAGCCAGAGGCUGUGGCCACUCGGGCAGUGACGACGGGACGCCCUUUGCCUCGGCUUUGCGGGCUCCAAGUGGGCCAUCCUUCACCUUCCCGACGGCAGAGUUGCAGCAGCUCGUCCUGGGAACGCUGUCCAGGCUGCAGGACCAGCCUCACGGAGCCACUCGGGAGCCCAAGGGUGUCCUGCUGCCCUGGUGCCUCCUCCUCGUGACCCCAUACAACCUAUGCACAUUUGUGUCCCAUCACUGGACUGACACCUUGGUUGUUGUUGGACAAACCCUGGUCUGCCCUACUUCCCUGGAGGAGUGUUUAUCCAGCUUAGUGUGUCUGCAGUAUCACAGAGGGGGCAGCAGCAACUGAGACAAUGGACCCCAGUGAAACGCCUUGGUGAGUGAUGACUAGAGCACAUCCAGGGGUGCUAAGCAUCCAAUGAUCAACACUUAAAUAGCCUCAGGAGGAACGAAGCUGGAACCUGUUGGAUGUAGAAUCACUUAGGAAGGGCUGUUAUCCCAUGCUGAGUUUCUCACUGCUGAUAAUGCUGCAACCAGUGAGUGGCUAUGUGACAGGAGGGAGAGGAGGGUGACUCCGUGUUGGUCUGCAGAGGAGGCCUUUACAUCCCUGAUUUGCUCUUCACAGUAGAAGUAAAACAUUUUCAUUAUUACAAGUAACUUUUUUAGUUCUAAAAUGAACACUUAUGGAGGAAGGCCUAAAAAAUCACCAAAGCUAAUUUUUUAUCAGUUUGGAUGGAAAUCACUUUUUUUUUUUCUUCUUCUAUUGCCUUGGAGUUCUUGCCAUAAGUUCUAAAGAGCAAUACAUAAUGGUGGUACCAUUGUGAGUGCCAUUCAGCUCCAAAAUCCCCCAGGGCAGGAUUUUAACAUGGGCUGCAGGGAGCGGAGAUGAUGACUUGGUGUUAGAUGAGGGAUGCUGUCUUGAGUCUGGGUAGGGUCAAGCAUGAGCCAGUAGUCCCCACUUUCUUCACAUCCUGGAGUCCCCCCAGCUUGUGGUAUGUUUUGCAUUGGAGAAUCAGUGUCAUGUCACCAAAACUAGAUGUGUGUCACUGAUGGGGUAAUGCAAUUCCAGAACCUUCCAUGUGUCCUCAAAUUGGCCACAGGCCAUAAAGCUUCCAGGGCAGUGGCCUGAGGUCCCACCUGGGUCAGCAAACUGGUAAGGAAACUCCCCUGCCAGACCAUUCAGAUCCUGCUCUGGGGGUCCCACUGGCACCACCCCCGCCUGCUGGGAUCACAGCCCCUUUGUAGCAGAGGCUUCAGUGACCCCACAGCCCCCAUGUGAGUCCCUGUACACCCCACAGUCCCCCAGUCAGAUCAGCUUCUCUCACCAGCUCAGCCCCAGGUUUCCCACAGCACAGU